rnacentral:lncRNA from 1 species
GCAACUAAUGGUUACACUCUAUAUAUAAACACACUGCAGCGAAAGCAUAAAUAAAAAUGUGGGAUAAUAUCUAAUAUACUCCUCAAAACUUCUGAAAUAUCUUAUCUAUUUUUAUUUUUUUUUGUUUCAAUAUUACCGCUCAUAUAUUUCUCCGAUAUUCAAAAAUAACAAUGCUGUUAUAAGUACCCAUUAAGUCAUCUCGGGUUUAAUCCGAGUUAAAUUUCUACCAAAGUUAAAAAAUAGUCAAAAUACCUAUUUUGCCUCUAAUUUGAGGGUAAAUAAAAAAUGUUGGAUGAUGAUAAAAGUGUAUAUUUGAAAAGACAAAAAAUCAAAAUACUUCUUUUAACCUCUAACUGAACGGUAAAUAAGAAAAAUUAAUGACGGUAGAAGAGUAUAUUUAAAAGGGUAAAAUAGUAAUUUCACAGAGAUAAUGACUGUUCCUAAUAGUUCACUAACAAGAUUUUACUCUAAAAAUAUAUUUGAAAUAAGUACUUUAAUGUUAACUUUCUAAGAAAGAUAAAAAAGAAAUUUAGAAACUUUUCAAGAAUAUAUAAAUAAUUGCCCUAAAAAGAAAAAAACUAUAUUAUGGUAGAAUUGGACAAUCAAAAUAUUGUUCAUGCAAUCCGAAAGUACAUCAAGUAGAACCCAUGAACUAUGCGAAUAUAUUUACUGAUCGAGGAUGUUCGAUGUAUUUCUUCUGAAAAUGAAGAUAUUUCCUUUGCGGAUUUCUUCCAGAAGACUUUGAUUUAAUUAUCUUUAAGAAAAGAAGAUUUAAGUUUCGAAGCUCGUAAGAAGGUAAUUUCUGAUAUCUCCAUAUUAACUCUGGAGAAAUCUUACUAAAUUUUUGUUCUCCUUCUCCAAGAGUAAAAAUAAAUUUAAAACAAAAAAGAUCUCCUUGGUGUUCUGGGGCAGAUCUAUUUUACGUAUUAGCUUUUUAUUGUUUUGGGCAUGAUUGUUUCUGUAGAUGGAAGUUGCUUUUGAAAGUAAUUUAAGGCUUGCUAAUACACUUUGCUACAGCAAUUAAGUGGAAGGAAAAAUAAACACUUUCAUUCAAAAAACUUGAUUGCUAAAGGCUUACAAUUAAAGGACUUAAAUAAAAGAAAAAACUUGAGGCUUAAGAAAACCUAACUCAACACAUGUUCUCCACUACAUCCACUACACAUGUGCUCCUAGAAACUAGCUACCAUGAACUCCACAACAUUACCCACUACUUACACAAAUUAAGGCACUAAUCCACUAUUUCCAUGAUCUUAGCCCACUACUUGCACCCACUACUUGCACAAUAGUAGGGCCACUAACAUCAUAAGAUUUGCAUCAUUUUCCAACA